UAGUCAGUGCGUGUGCGUCCGGCGGAAACAUUAUUUGGAGGUUAUGUUUUGAUGGAACUGAUAACAUAGUAAAAUGUCACAACGAGAAAAAAAUCAGAUUUGGCAGUACUUUGAUAAAAGUAUCAGAGAUACAUCAAAAGCUGUUUGCAAGAUAUGUAACAAGUGCUAGUCAUUAGGAAGCCACGAAGCAAAAAAACAAACAUCACAUGGACUGAAGUUGCAUUUAUCAAAAUUUCAUGACCAGGAAUACAGGCAAGUAACAAUUACUUAUUUGAUUAUAUUGUCAACUGAAAAACAUUUUGCUAUGAGAACUUACUUUUAAAAAGUAUUAAAAAUGUUAUUAAGAUUUUUUAAUAUUGUAUUAAAUAAAUGAUUACAAUACAACAAACUGAAUUAA